GACGAACGCUGGCGGCGUGCUUAACACAUGCAAGUCGAGCGGUAAGGCCCUUUCGGGGGUACACGAGCGGCGAACGGGUGAGUAACACGUGGGUGACCUGCCCUUAGCUCUGGGAUAAGCCUGGGAAACUGGGUCUAAUACCGGAUAUGACUCCAUGACGCAUGUUGUGGGGUGGAAAGCCUUGUGCGGCUAGGGAUGGGCCCGCGGCCUAUCAGCUUGUUGGUGGGGUGAUGGCCACCAAGGCGACGACGGGUAGCCGGCCUGAGAGGGCGACCGGCCACACUGGGACUGAGACACGGCCCAGACUCCUACGGGAGGCAGCAGUGGGGAAUCUUGCGCAAUGGGCGAAAGCCUGACGCAGC
rnacentral:rRNA from 1 species